AGACAACCAGGAGGUUGGCUUAGAAGCAGCCACCCUUGAAAGAGUGCGUAAUAGCUCACUGGUCGAGUGGUUCUGCGCCGACAAUUCAGUGGGGCUCAAGUACACCGCCGAAGCCGCGGCAAACAUUUUUUGUUUGGGUAGGGGAGCGUCGUGCAUGGGUUGAAGCGUUACCGUAAGGAGGCGUGGACUGUGUGCGAGUGAGAAUGCAGGCAUGAGUAGCGAAUUGAUAGGUGAGAAUCCUAUCCGCCGGAUGACUAAGGGUUCCUGGGUCAAGUUCGUCUUCCCAGGGUGAGUCGGGACCUAAGGCGAGGCCGACAGGCGUAGUCGAUGGAUAACCAGUUGAUAUUCUGGUACCCGUACAUGCG
rnacentral:rRNA from 14 species